AUAGCUGAGUAGCUGAGUCUGGACCAGAUAAGCGCUGAAAGCAUCUAAGCGCGAAACUGACCUUAAGAUAAGAUUUCCCAUCACGCAAGUGAGUAAGACCCCCGAUACGUUAACGGGUUGAUAGGUUGCAUGUGUAAGUGCAGUAAUGCAUUCAGCUGAGCAAUACUAAUAGGUCGAGGUCUUGACCU
rnacentral:rRNA from 1 species